rnacentral:tRNA from 1 species
GUGGGUGUAGCUCAGCUGGUUAGAGCACCUGGUUGUGGCCCAGGUUGUCGGGGGUUCGAAUCCCCUCAUCCACCCCA